AGGGGGCGGGGCAGGGGGAGGGGCCACAGCCGCCUCCCGGACCGCCCAGCCCAGGCGCGGUGCGGCUCGGUGCGGUAAGCUGCAGAGCCCUGUUAACUAAAAAUGUAAUUUCAGAUUGGACAAUAUAACUAAGUAAAUGAAUUGUGUGGGACGCGUGUACCUGGGUUCCCAGCCAAAGCCAGAGAUCAAAGCAGAGAGAGGAUAUUGAGCUUCCUCCCAGAUCCCCGAGACGCUGUCCCGACAGUCCUGGAGGAGUGGCUCUUUCGGAAAUAGGACUGCAGGUGGAAGGAUGGCAGUGCCCCGUGGAGACCGGGAACCAGGGAGCUACUAUGUAGGUGUGGACGUGGGGACAGGCAGUGUCCGGGCAGCUCUGGUGGACCAGAGGGGCACCCUCGUGGCUUUUGCAGAUCAGCCAGUCAACCAGUGGGAGCCUCAAUUCAACCACCACGAGCAGUCCUCCGAGGACAUCUGGGCUGCGUGCUGUGUCGUCACAAAGAAAGUUGUACAAGGGAUCAAUUUAAACCGAAUUCGAGGGCUUGGGUUUGAUGCCACGUGUUCUCUGGUUGUUUUGGAUAAGGAGUUUCGCCCUUUACCAGUAAACCAUGAAGGGGAUCCCCAUCGAAACAUCAUCAUGUGGCUGGACCACCGGGCGAUCAGUCAGGUCCACAGGAUCAACGAAACCAAGCACAGUGUCCUUCAGUACGUCGGGGGCGUGAUGUCCGUGGAAAUGCAGGCGCCGAAGCUUCUGUGGCUCAAAGAGAACUUGAGAGAGACUUGCUGGGAUAAGGCGGGACAUUUCUUUGAUCUCCCAGACUUCUUAUCGUGGAAGGCAACAGGUGUCCCAGCACGGUCUCUCUGCUCCCUGGUGUGUAAAUGGACAUACUCAGCAGAGAAAGGCUGGGAUGACAGUUUCUGGAAGGUGAUUGGUUUGGAAGACUUGAUUGCAAAUAAUUACAACAAAAUAGGAAACAAAGUGCUGCCUCCUGGAGCUUCUCUUGGAAGUGGGCUCACACCAGAGGCUGCAAAGGACCUUGGCCUUCCUGCUGGAAUUGCCGUGGCUGCCUCACUUAUUGAUGCCCAUGCAGGAGGACUAGGAGUGAUUGGAGCAGAUGUGAGGGGGCACGGCCUCGCUUGUGAGGGACAGCCAGUGACGUCACGGCUGGCUGUCAUCUGUGGAACAUCUUCUUGUCACAUGGGGAUAAGCAAGAACCCAAUAUUUGUACCAGGUGUCUGGGGCCCUUAUUUCUCCGCCAUGGUCCCUGGGUUCUGGCUGAAUGAAGGUGGUCAGAGCGUUACUGGAAAACUGAUAGACCACAUGGUGCAGGGUCAUGCCGUCUUCCCUGAACUACAAGCCAAGGCCACAGCCAGAUGCCAGAGUGUAUAUGCAUAUUUGAACAGUCACCUGGAUCUGAUUAAGAAGACUCAGCCUGUGGGUUUCCUCACUGUGGAUUUACAUGUUUGGCCAGAUUUCCAUGGUAACCGGUCUCCCUUAGCAGAUCUGACACUAAAGGGCAUGGUCACCGGAUUGAAACUGUCUCAGGACCUGGAUGAUCUUGCCAUUCUCUACCUGGCCACAGUUCAAGCCAUUGCUUUCGGGACGCGCCUCAUUAUAGAGGCCAUGGAGACAGCAGGGCACUCCAUCAGCACCCUUUUCCUGUGUGGGGGCCUCAGCAAGAACCCCCUUUUUGUGCAAAUGCACGCAGACAUUACUGCCCCAUUUUUCACAGGGAAACCAGGUCUAAGAGGGUGUGAGUGACUGGCUGAAGGACACAGGGCUGGUCUUCGCAUCUGAAGCUUUUCCCAGAGACCCCACCCCAGCUGAUACCUGUCAGCCUUGUCUCCAGCAGUGGCCCUGUGGUAUGAGGCUGGUGUUCCUAAGUCCCCUGAGAUAUGUGUGGGAAUUCUCUCCCCUGUCCCCUUUGUCUGGGGUGGCUGGGGAGGAGGAUGAGGAGGAUGUGCCAGGGAGGUCUUCCUAAAAGAGAUAGGAAGAGAAAAUCCAGUCUUGGGACAACUGAUGUCUUGAGAAGAGGAAGAUCCUCCAGGUCUGGCUGCAGAGUUUACCUCUGUGGAGUUUGCUGCCAUCUCCUGAUUAGCACAUAUAUUUAUAUUUUUAUGUAUGUUUUCUUUCAUACACACACACAAGAUACUCAGAACCCUAAGUUAGUCCUAUUAACUGUAAGCCCAUGAGCCCUCAACCUCUGGGAAUUGGCAUGUGGAGUGUACCUCCAUGCCUGGUGAACCCCUCCCUACGCAUCCUCAAAUACCUGUUUAAUCCUGAGCAUCCCUGCUUGGACCCUGCCCCCAUCUCAAAAAUUCAUUCUUUCAUCAUGUAAGUACUUGCCCUGUGCUAGAUCCUGGUCUCCCUUCUGGAUCCAGCAAUGGGCAAAAUAAAGACCCUGCCCUCAUGGAGCUUAUAUUCUACUAGGGGAGACAGAGAGUAAAGAGGAUAUGUCAUAACAUGGGGAGGAAACAGUGAAACAGUGUGUGGGGGUGAGGGGUGUCGUGGGUAAGUUGUCAUUUCAUGUCGAAUGGUCAGGAAAGCUGCAGGGGGAUGGGCAUGUUUACACAGACUUGCAGGAAGGAGAGGGUGUUGUCAUAGGGACAUCUGGAAGGAAGCACCCCAGACAGAGGGGACAGCACAGGCAAGGGCCCCGAGGUAGGCUCAAGAGAGAGCAAGGAGGCCAGGCAGUGUGGCAGUGAGAAGAGGAGAGGCCAGUCAGGGUGGAAGAAGUGACACCCAUCCUGGAGGGCCUUGUCAGCCUUGGCAGGGGCUUUGGCUGGUGCUCUGAGAGAAAUAGGAAGAAAUAAGAAGCCUCCGGAAGAAUUAAUCACACCCUCUCUUACGACUUCCCUUUUCUUAGUGCUUCUCAGUUGCAGACCCAGCCCCUCUGCUCGGCCUUUAUCUCUUGCUCAUCCAUCCCCUUUGAGACCUGAAUAUGAAUAGCAAGACACCCUGUAUUCUCUGGGCUUAGCAGGGCACUUGAUCAGUGUUUGUUGAACUACUUGAAAUGGCAUGCCUGUGGUCCUGUCGCAAGAGGUGGAGUCUGUUCUUGUGGGCGCUGCUAUUCUGGGGGCCUGUGCUUCGGGGGAUUUUGCUUCUGUACAG